GGAGUUGGCCAGGCGAUCGCUUUUCACCGUUCGCGGUGAGGGGAGGAAAGUCCGGGCUCCAUAGGGCAGAGUGCCAGGUAACUCCUGGGGGGCGUGAGCCUACGGAAAGUGCAGCAGAAAGUGAACCGCCAGGCCCUCGGGUCAGGUAAGGGUGAAAAGGUGCGGUAAGAGCGCACCGCGCGUUCUGGUAACAGGCGUGGCGAUGGUAAACCCCACUCGGAGCAAGACCAAAUAGGAAUCCAUAGCUGCGGCCCGCAGUGGAUUCGGGUAGGUCGCUACAGGUUAACGGUGACGUUGAUCGCAGAUGAAUGAUCGUCUACGACAGAACCCGGCUUAUCGGCCAACUCCACCU
rnacentral:RNase_P_RNA from 1 species